rnacentral:rRNA from 1 species
GACGAACGCUGGCGGCGUGCCUAAUACAUGCAAGUUGAGCGCUGAAGGUUGGUACUUGUCCCAACUGGAUGAGCAGCGAACGGGUGAGUAACGCGUGGGUAAUCUGCCUUUGAGCGGGGGACAACAUUUGGAAACGAAUGCUAAUACCGCAUAAAAACUUUAAACACAAGUUUUAAGUUUGAAAGAUGCAAUUGCAUCACUCAAAGAUGAUUCCGCGUUGUAUUAGCUAGUUGGUGAGGUAAAGGCUCACCAAGGCGAUGAUACAUAGCCGACCUGAGAGGGUGAUCGACCACAUUGGGACUGAGACACGGCCCAAACUCCUACGGGAGGCAGCAGUAGGGGAACUUCGGAAAUGGACGAAAGGCUGACCGAGGAACGCCGCGGGAGUGAAGAAGGUUUUCGGGUCGUAAAACUCUGUUGGUAGGGAAGGACGUUGGUGAGGGUGGAAAGCUCAUCAAGUGACGGUAACUACACAGAAAGGGACGGCUAACUACGUG